UUCAUGUUAAAAAGACCGGUUCAGAAGAAUCGGAUCGUCCUUGAACGCAACACUACACACAACCGACUGGCUUCAAACCGCUUCAAACCUAUGCUUCAAACACGGCGCACAUCUGCAAAAACACACGAUCCAUGCAACAACAUAUCUAUAUAUUAACGGUGUUUUUACUAUUGUGAGCUAAAAUACAUAAACCUAUAACUCCUUACUGCAUGCAGCGUGCAUUCUACUAUCCGUUGCUCUUCACAGGGAGACUAAACUAAUCGAUUACCGAGGCGUUUCUGUAGAAAAGUGCCACAAAACCACAACAACAACAUACUCCUUACAUGUCCUCUAUUAUCCAGGAGGAAUGAAUAAUCCACCAUGGCCCAAAGGGAAGAAACUAGUCCACUUGGAUCUGAAAGGAGCCCCUCCAAGAGUAGGAUACCUGCACAAGCUGAUAGAGCUGUUCUCCCAGCUGGGGGCGGAUGGUCUGCUGGUGGAGUAUGAAGACAUGUUUCCCUAUGAGGGGGAUCUGAAGCUGCUGCAGGCCACACAGCACCCUGCUUACAGGUAGAGGUGGGGUUUUAUAUAUGUUAUAACAUUAUAAUCAUUCCUGCAUUUCACCUGCACGAUUAUGCCUUUUUAUACGUGUUGUGAAAAUACUGAAUGUCCUUCCAAUAUGAGAGUAACAUGAUAACAAAGGUGUCCCAACUGUAGCUGUGUACAUGACAGAAGAAGAGCAUUGUUGGAUUCAGAAUUCCAGAAAAGACAGACAACUUCUAAGUUUAACUAUUUAUUGUAAAGAGAGCAAAAUAUAUAUAUUACUUGGCCAAGGACUCAUCACGUCUUGGAAAUCACAGGCAGCAAAGCUGUAAU